AUUGAACGCUGGCGGCAUGCUUUACACAUGCAAGUCGAACGGCAGCGCGGGCUUCGGCCUGGCGGCGAGUGGCGAACGGGUGAGUAAUGCAUCGGAACGUGCCCAGUAGUGGGGGAUAGCCCGGCGAAAGCCGGAUUAAUACCGCAUACGACCUGAGGGUGAAAGCGGGGGACCGAAAGGCCUCGCGCUAUUGGAGCGGCCGAUGUCGGAUUAGCUAGUUGGUGGGGUAAAGGCUUACCAAGGCGACGAUCCGUAGCUGGUCUGAGAGGACGACCUGCCACACUGGGACUGAGACACGGCCCAGACUCCUACGGGAGGCAGCAGUGGGGAAUUUUGGACAAUGGGGGCAACCCUGAUCCAGCCAUGCCGCGUGCGGGAAGAAGGCCUUCGGGUUGUAAACCGCUUUUGUUCGGGAAGAAAUCCUCUGGGCUAAUACCCCGGGGGGAUGACGGUACCGGAAGAAUAAGCACCGGCUAACUACGUG
rnacentral:rRNA from 1 species